UUAAAGCUGAUCUGCUCUGGGUAAGUCGGGGCCUAAGGCGAGGACGAGAGUCGUAGCCGAUGGACAACAGGUGGAGAUUCCUGUACUGCGGUAUGACAGAACUGUGGGGACACGUAAGGAAAGCGGAAGCCGGGAAUGGAAAGCCCGGUGCAAGCGGGGUACCAGCCACUUUGGCAAAUCCGGGUGGCAAUGGGAAGCCGUGAUGCGGAGCGAAAUAAAGUAGCGAAGUCCGUGAGCCAUGCGUCAAGAAAAGCCGCUAUUGUUUAUACCGUACCCGUACCGUAAACCGACACAGGUGGAUGAGGAGAGAAUCCUAAGGCCGGCGGAAGAAGCAUUGUCAAGGAACUCGGCAAAAUGGCCCCGUAACUUAGGGAUAAGGGGUGCCUGGGAAACCAGGCCGCAGAGAAUAGGCUCAAGCAACUGUUUAGCAAAAACACAGGUCUAUGCGAAACCGAAAGGUGAGGUAUAUGGGCUGACGCCUGCCCGGUGCUGGAAGGUUAAGAGGAGAGGUUAGCGCAAGCGAAGCUUUGAAUUUAAGCCCCAGUAAACGGCGGCCGUAACAAUAACGGUCCUAAGGUAGCGAAAUUCCUUGUCGGGUAAGUUCCGACCCGCACGAAAGGCGUAAUGAUUUGAGCGCUGUCUCGACAAUGCAUCCGGUGAAAUUGAAGUACCAGUGAAGAUGCUGGUUACCUGCGCCAGGACGGAAAGACCCCAUGGAGCUUUACUCCAGUCUGGUACUGGGACUCGGUAUUGCAUGUACAGGAUAGGUGGGAGGCUAGGAGAUGGUAACGCCAGUUGCCAUGGAGCCGCUGUUGGGAUACCACCCUUGCAGUAUUGGGUUUCUAACCAGCCGCCGUGACCCGGCGGUGGGACAAUGCCAGACGGGGAGUUUGACUGGGGCGGUCGCCUCCGAAAGGGUAUCGGAGGCGCCCAAAGGUUCCCUCAGAAUGGACGGAAACCAUUCGAAGAGUGCAAAGGCAGAAGGGAGCUUGACUGCGACACCGACGGGUGGGGCAGGUACGAAAGUAGGGCUUAGUGAUCCGGUGGUAUUAAGUGGGAAUGCCAUCGCUCAACGGAUAAAAGCUACCCUGGGAUAACAGGCUUAUCACUCCCAAGAGUUCACAUCGACGGAGUGGUUUGGCACCUCGAUGUCGGCUCAUCGCAUCCUGGGGCUGUAGUAGGUCCCAAGGGUUGGGCUGUUCGCCCAUUAAAGCGGUACGCGAGCUGGGUUCAGAACGUCGUGAGACAGUUCGGUCCCUAUCCGGCGUGGGCGUAGGAUAUCUGAGAGGAGCUGUCCUUAGUACGAGAGGACCGGGAUGGACGGGCCGCUGGUGCAUCGGUUAGACUGCCAAGUCUACGGCCGAGUAGCCAAGCCCGGAAGGGAUAAACGCUGAAGGCAUCUAAGCGUGAAGCCCCCCUUAAGAUGAGAUAUCCCAUUCGAAAGAAGUAAACCCCCUUGAAGACGACGAGGUAGAUAGGGCAGAGGUGGAAGUGCAGCAAUGCAUGGAGCUGACUGUUACUAAUCGGGUGAGGGCUUGAUC
rnacentral:rRNA from 1 species